GAAAGAACGGAAGCGAUCGACACGGUAACGCAUGCCUGGCACGUACCCAAUUAUCGAGGUUAAUUAACGGAGUGCGUAAACAAAUCGAGAGCAUCGUCCGGUGGUGGUUGCGGCUCGUGGAACGCGGUAACCACCUUUGCCCAUUUCCACGCGGAAAUUCGUGGACUCUACGUGGACACAGGGAACGGAGAUAAAACAACCGACCAAAGGCGAAUCGAUGUUUCUAUAACUCGCUGCUUGACGACAACUAUGCGUUUAUCGCUACUUUGUGUAUAUAUCGACGGCCAUGUAAGACGAUCCAUCCGUCACGCUGCAGCACCAAGGAAGAAGGUUAGGAACACGGCCUAUAGCGAGCCUCGCAGCGUAACAACUUGUUCAAUAGAUAUUUGAAUCAUUAUUUUGUAAAACUUAUUAUAUAAAC
rnacentral:misc_RNA from 1 species